UUAUAGUAUAAGAAUAUUAGAGUGACACAAUUAACCAUGAUCCAAGUCACUAAAACACAAAGAAACACUAUAAUACUUUCUUCCAAUAACAACACUCUUUUAUCAAUUGAUAACAAUAAUGUACAACCCUGCACUUUCAAAAGACUGCUCAAAACACAUAAAUUCCAUCCAAUACUCGAAAUAACAGACUUCACUCCAAUCAAUCUUGAUUCACAUAAUUUUUGUAAUCAUAGACUUCCUCUGUCGAAACACACACAACUCUCAAUAAACAACAAUCAUAAUCUUCCAUCCAUAAUCAAUCUUCUAAUAACUUCUUAUAUAAUUCAAUCACAUAGUAUUCCAAUUAUAUAAUCAAUAACUCAUAAAUCAAUCUCUGAUUUAUUCCACAGAUUUGCUUCUCAGUAGUCAGAAACUAUCCAUUACUCUUCAACAACAAAAAAACAAAGAGGUAGUAUCAAGCUUACCUUAGCUCAUAACUAUCACAGUUUGGCCCUUACAAUAUCUUCUUCAACUUACUUAUGCUUUACUUCUAAAAUUCCAGCUUCUAAUUGUCAUUCCUUAUUUAACUAUUUUUCACAACUAAUUCAAUCACACAUCCUACUAAAUUGACUAUCUUACGAAUGAUUAAUCUACUUUAUAAAUAUCUCACAAAAACAAAUUUCUACUCCUUCUAUAUAGCCCCACUCCUAAUUGUGCAGCAUACUCGUAAACAUAGAAUUGAUACAUAUCUAAAAAAAACUAAACAAAACUCUAUCAAUUUACUAUCCCUUUGGCCCACCCAAUUGAUCAACUACCACAUUAUUUUUUGUUGGUUCCACCAAUUCCGAUUCCAAAUGUAAACUUUCAUCCUCCUCCAAUCCUUCCAUCACUUCCUUCCUAAAUUAGGCUCAAAGG
rnacentral:lncRNA from 1 species